rnacentral:rRNA from 1 species
AUACGGAGGAUCCGAGCGUUAUCCGGAUUUAUUGGGUUUAAAGGGUGCGCAGGCGGCCAUUUAAGUCAGCGGUUAAAUCGUGGGGCUCAACCCCAUUCUGCCGUUGAUACUGGGUGGCUUGAUUGCGGUCGAGGUUGGCGGAAUUCGUUGUGUAGCGGUGAAAUGCAUAGAUAUGACGAAGAACACCGAUUGCGUAGGCAGCUGACCAGACCGCAAAUGACGCUCAUGCACGAAAGUGCGGGGAUCGAACAGGAUUAGAUACCCUGGUAGUCCGCACAGUAAACGAUGAAUACUUGUUUUCGGCGAUAGAAUGUCGGAGGCAAAGCGAAAGCGAUAAGUAUUCCACCUGGGGAGUACGCCGGCAAGGGUGAAACUCAAAGGAAUUGACGGGG